rnacentral:rRNA from 1 species
UGGGGAAUCUUCCGCAAUGGGCGAAAGCCUGACGGAGCAACGCCGCGUGAGUGAUGACGGCCUUCGGGUUGUAAAGCUCUGUUAUAUGGGACGAACGGGCAUGGGGCGAAUACCCUCAUGCAGUGACGGUACCGUAAGAGAAAGCCACGGCUAACUACGUGCCAGCAGCCGCGGUAAUACGUAGGUGGCAAGCGUUGUCCGGAAUUAUUGGGCGUAAAGGGCGUGUAGGCGGCCAGACAAGUCUGUCUUAAAAGUGCGGGGCUCAACCCCGUGAUGGGAUGGAAACUGUCGGGCUAGAGUGUCGGAGAGGAAAGCGGAAUUCCUAGUGUAGCGGUGAAAUGCGUAGAUAUUAGGAGGAACACCAGUGGCGAAAGCGGCUUUCUGGACGACAACUGACGCU